ACGUAGUUGUAGACCCGAAACCGAGUGACCUAUCCAUGGUCAGGUUGAAGGUGGGGUAAUACCUACUGGAGGACCGAACAAGUGGGUGUUAAAAAACCCUUUGAUGAACUGUGGAUAGCGGUGAAAUUCCAAUCGAACUCGGAGAUAGCUGGUUCUAUCCGAAAUACAUUUAGGUGUAGCCUUGCAAUUAGCUUACUGGAGGUAGAGCACUAUUUGGUCUAGGGGCCCUUCAAGGGUUACCAAAAUCAGAUAAACUCCGAAUGCCAGCUAAGUAUGUGCAGGAGUCAGACGGUGAGUGAUAAGAUCCAUCGUCAAAAGGGGAACAGCCCAGAUCACCAGUUAAGGUCCCUAAAUAUAUGCUAAGUGGAAAACGUUGUGAAGGUGCAUAGACA
rnacentral:rRNA from 1 species